UACCAUGCUUCUUCCAUUCCCUACCAAUGGAUGAGCAAGUCGGAAUGCCGGCAUUUUAGGGAGAAGCAUAAUAUCCCCGCAGACUGGGAGGUCGAGUUCAACACACAUUUGAGGGCAUGCCAUCCCAUUUUCGGCCGCCUUUGUGUCUACAAAUAUGCCUUCGAUAGGGGCUUUGGCCUGCCUCUUGAGGAAGGGUCAUGUCACUCAUUCAACACCUCACUAUCAUUCCUGCUCAACUCUCACGUUUCGGAUGAAGGUAUUUGAUGGGUUUUGUCGUCAUCUGCAGCAUCGGCCGAGUAGAGCCCUCGGGGGAGCUGUUUGAUUAUUUCUUCACCACCAACCUCGACCCUAGAGGUUGGAUUUCUAUCUUGCCUAGGGUCGUGAAGGAAGGCUUCCUUCUCGUGUCUAAGGAGCAUCCUAGAACUGAGGCCACAACCACGUCUCUCAUGUUUUCCGGGGAUUCUAAGGAUUUAGACGACCAGAAAGAGCGUUAUGUCUUCAUUCACCCUCAAGGUUCCGGCUCUACGUAAGGGACCUAGUUCGUGUGCAACGGGUGGACUUUAGACACCAAACGCAAAUGUCCAAGCGUCGAAGCCAUUAAAGAGUCGGCCGGUAGGAUCCUGGGUAUAAGUAGGGACUGAAAAAAUGAAUGGCUUACAAAUUCGAAGCUUACCGAGGUGGGCCUGGAUGGUGGAACCUUUAAAGACUCCUAGGAGAUACCCUAUUCCCCGCUUCCAAGGGGAUGAUUCUAGAUUUCCCUAAAAGCAAGGGGCCUUCAGCCCCUAUAAAAUAGAGGAAAACAAUUGAGAAGGCUCUUAAGACCUCUCAAGGUUAAGGACAUCUUGCUCUUUGUAGGUCGAAGAAGACGGCCGAGGAAGACCUCUGGAGUUUUCAAGAGGCCUUGAAGGGCAGUGCCGAAGCUUACCCGAUGAGCCCUUCCUCCAGAUCUCGAGCUUCAAAAACUAGGAAGGACCCCCAACCUUCUCCCCAAUCAGCGACAUCACUUGCUUUACCAUAAGAUCCAACCGAAAGUAAAGAUGAGACUAUCGCCCGGGCGUUUGAGGUGGCUAAAGUAGAGGCUCGAAGAGGUCAGUCGUCUGUAGGUAUGGAGUCAACCAUAAUACACCCCGCCAUUCCAAUUCCUUCUAUCUUUAGGCGUAUACUAACGUCCCUAUCACCGGAGGGCCACUCGGAAUUAACAUGGAGAGCUUUGCUAGAGGAGACCUCAGUAUUAUCUGCUAAGGAGAUUCUGGCUUGAAGGGCCAAGCAGCGAAGGGUUGAAACUGCUCCCUCAUCUUUUUCGACUGGCGCGACUGGGGCCCUUGAAGCGACCGGGGGUCUCUCUAAUGUCCUAGUGGCUCAUUCGAUUUCCCCCGAUUCUGUUCCCGAGUUGGGAGUAGACCUCCUGUACCCAACGGUUAUUUAUAUAACCGAGCUUAAGCUCGCCAGGAUCUAGAGCUGGCGUAGAAUGGGAUGCUGGAAGCUCAUCAGGCCAACUCCAAGCUUGGGGAAGAGCUAGAUGCUGUGAAGGCCGUGAAUGAGAAGCAUAGGGAAAAUGUAAAGAGGAUAUCUUCAGAGUUGAAGGAAAGCAAAAAAAGCCAAGUUGAGACCAUGAAGUCCUACUCCCAGUGUAAGGAAGAUCUCCAAGCAACUAACAGAAAGCUUUGAUCCGCCCUUGAAGAUGCUCGCGUGGCUUUUCAAAAUGGUCGCGAGGAAUUUCGAAAUUUCGAGACUUAUGCUUUGGAGCUAGAAGGAGUUCUUCGGGGUGGAUUCAAGUAUAUGAAAAAACUCGCGAAUGAGCACUUUCCGAAAUUGCCCAUGCACUCCAUCACUUAUGAUGUCUCGAUUGUUUUAUCUUCUUUAGAAUAGAUUCCUUUGUAUUUAUAAACACAACAUCUCAAUAAAAUUCA